GAUGAACGCUAGCGGGAGGCUUAACACAUGCAAGUCGAGCGGGAUCCCGAGCAAUCGGGAGAGAGCGGCGCACGGGUGCGUAACGCGUAUGCAACCUGCCUUAUACAGGGGGAUAGCCCAUGGAAACGUGGAUUAAUAUCCCAUAGGACUUCUGAAUCGCAGGGUUAAUAAGUUAAAACUACGGUGGUAUAAGAGGGGCAUGCGGCUGAUUGGGGAGGGGGUAGGGUAACGGCAUACCAAGCCGACGAUCAGUAGGGGUUCUGAGAGGAGUACCCCCCACACUGGUACUGAGACACGGACCAGACGCCUACGGGAGGCAGCAGUGAGGAAUAUUGGUCAAGGGGCGAUAGCCUGAACCAGCCAGCCCGCGUGCAGGAUGACGGCCCUAUGGGUUGUAAACUGCUUUUCUGCUCCAAGAAACCUGAUUACGGGUAAUCAGUUGACGGUAGAGCAGGAAUAAGCAUCGGCUAACUCCGUGCCAGCCGCCGCAGUAAGAC
rnacentral:rRNA from 1 species